GCUUCGGUAGCUCAGUAGGUAGAGCGCAUGGCUGUUAACCAUGGUGUCGGAGGUUCGAGUCCUCCCCGAAGCG
rnacentral:tRNA from 1 species